AACUUUCAGCAAUGGAUCACUUGGCUCUCGCAUCGAUGAAGAACGCAGCGAAUUGCGAUAUGUAAUGUGAAUUGCAGAUUUCAGUGAAUCAUCGAAUCUUUGAACGCAUCUUGCGCCCCUUGGUAUUCCGUGGAGCAUGCCUGUUUGAGUGUCAUUCAAGUUCUCAACCACAACUGGAUUCUUUUUUCUGUUGUGGCUUGGAUUGGUGGGGGAUUUGCUGGCUUUCACAAGUCUGCUCCCCUGAAAUGCAUUAGUGGUAUGAGCUACUACGUGGUGUGAUAAAUUUAUCUAUGCCCUGCUAGUGUGCAGCUGUAUACUGCUUCUAACAAAAACCUUAUUUGUUUGAUGAAUUUGACCUCAAAUCAGGUAGGACUACCCGCUGAACUUAAGCAUAUCAAUAAGCGGAGGCU
rnacentral:misc_RNA from 1 species